UAACGCGUGAGUAAUCUACCUCUACCUGGGGGACAACAGCUGGAAACGGCUGCUAAUACCGCAUAGGACCACAGGCACACAAGUGCUAGGGGUGAAAGAUUUAUCGGAUAGAGAUGAGCUCGCGUAGCAUUAGUUAGUUGGUGGGGUAACGGCCUACCAAGACUACGAUGCUUAGCCGAUCUGAGAGGAUGAUCGGCCACACUGGAACUGAGAUACGGUCCAGACUCCUACGGAAGGCAGCAG
rnacentral:rRNA from 1 species